rnacentral:rRNA from 1 species
GCCUACGGGGGGCAGCAGUAGGGAAUCUUCCACAAUGGGCGAAAGCCUGAUGGAGCAACGCCGCGUGGGUGAAGAAGGUCUUCGGAUCGUAAAACCCUGUUGUUAGAGAAGAAAGUGCGUGAGAGUAACUGUUCACAUUUCGACGGUAUCUAACCAGAAAGCCACGGCUAACUACGUGCCAGCAGCCGCGGUAAUACGUAGGUGGCAAGCGUUAUCCGGAUUCAUUGGGCGUAAAGAGAACGCAGGCGGUCUUUUAAGUCUGAUGUGAAAGCCUUCGGCUUAACCGGAGUAGUGCAUUGGAAACU